rnacentral:rRNA from 1 species
CGCGGCCUAUCAGCUUGUUGGUGGGGUGAUGGCCUACCAAGGCGACGACGGGUAGCCGGCCUGAGAGGGUGUCCGGCCACACUGGGACUGAGAUACGGCCCAGACUCCUACGGGAGGCAGCAGUGGGGAAUAUUGCACAAUGGGCGAAAGCCUGAUGCAGCGACGCCGCGUGGGGGAUGACGGCCUUCGGGUUGUAAACUCCUUUCGUCAGGGAAGAAGCCUUUUGGGGUGACGGUACCUGGAGAAGAAGCACCGGCUAACUACGUGCCAGCAGCCGCGGUAAUACGUAGGGUGCGAGCGUUGUCCGGAAUUAUUGGGCGUAAAGAGCUUGUAGGCGGUUUGUCGCGUCUGCGGUGAAAACUCGGGGCUUAACCCUGGGCGUGCCGUGGGUACGGGCAGGCUAGAGUGUGGUAGGGGAGACUGGAAUUCCUGGUGUGGCGGUGAAAUGCGCAGAUAUCAGGAGGAACACCGAUGGCGAAGGCAGGUCUCUGGGCCAUAACUGACGCUGAGAAGCGAAAGCAUGGGGAGCGAACAGGAUUAGAUACCCUGGUAGUCCAUGCCGUAAACGUUGGGCGCUAGGUGUGGGGCUCAUUCCACGAGUUCUGCGCCGCAGCUAACGCAUUAAGCGCCCCGCCUGGGGAGUACGGA